rnacentral:lncRNA from 1 species
CUAUGAUCACUCUCUGCUUGUCUCCAACGAAAGCACUAGAAUCCCAAGCUUGUCGUCUUUCAAUACCUUUUAGAGAGGUUUGGGCAUAGUGCAUAAUUGAUGUGGUAAUGCUAUCUGAUCUCACCCCUGUCCUCCUCAUGGCAGCAAUAACUCGCUGAUAAAGAUCAAUUCUUAGCACUGAAAGAUCUUCAACCCACCAGUCCUGACAAUCCAUUUUCAACUUCCCAGAUCCAGCAUCACAUUCCAAGCGGGCUAAACCAGAAACCAGCUGUUCCUUGCUAGCAUUUAUGGCAAUUGCAUCGACACAUCUAUUCAGUAUACCGAGCUCCUCCACAAUGGGAUGCAAACCCUCACAAGCACAUAAAACUUCGAGAGACUUCUCGAGGCUUUGCACCACAAUCUCAUUCAUGUAGGUCUCUGUCCGGGCAAUCAAGUUCUCCUCCUGGUAAUCUUCUGUCAUUUCUAGAUACUCAGCAAUGCAUCGGAGAUGAGCCACAUUGCUGGUAGUGAUUUCGAAGUUUGUUCCGUAGCAGAAUUUUGCAGCAAGUUCAAAUGCUGGAGCUCCCCCAGGUACAUUGCAGAGCUCCAACUUAAAAAGAUCAGGGUCCUUGGAUUCCACUAUCAUCUUGCGAAUUUUUCCACUCCGAGAAACCAAAGGGAACUUCAAAAUAAAAAACAAGGUCAGAACAGAUGUUACAAAGCCGAUUUCCUCUAUGUGAGUUGCACGGAGUGAAUGAAGUUUCACCAAGAAGAAAUAAUAAAUAUAUGGCUAUGAACGAGAUUACUAAAUGCUAAUUAGUGUGCAGAUAUUAUGUCUAGGCUCUCUUGUCUGGAGUAAGGUAAGGGAUGAAAAAAGAUAAAGUGUGUUUAUGUAUGUAUAUGUAUUUGUAUAUGUAUAUGUUUAUGUAUCUCUCUCUCUCUCUCUCUCUGUGUACUCAUGGAUGUCCUUUAUGUUUUGAUCCUGGUAAAGUCUAGGCUCUGCAUCCUUUAUUUUUUGACCACUGUCUUGCUGAUAUACUCAUAGAUGUCCAUCUAUGAAUCAAACAAGAAAAGA